GGACGCCCUGCUUGCUCCCUCUCUCGGCGCGACCGCAGCCAGGUUGGGACCCGCCUCGGCCCGCGAGUUCACUUUUCAGAGAAGCAAAGAACUUUCCAUCUGCCUGUGUCUUCGCUCCGGUGGACCGAGAGAAAACGAGAGGAGCCCGUUCACUUUAGAAACCAAGGCUGACCAGCCUUGAAUGCCUGCUUGGGAAGAUUUUCCUCCGGACGAGAGAAAUGUUGUCUUUCUCCUUCAUGAGCAAAUGAGGCAUCUUCUGAUAGGGAAGAAGAAAAGCCACUUCUGCUGAAUGGAAUGGAGAAGAGGCAGUUCUGAUCAGCAAUUCUUAGAGAAAGUAUGGCAAGAAAGCAAGUGAAAGAAGUUGGCCAAGGAGAUCAUAGAUGACCCACAAUAGAUGAUCCAUUCCUCAGGUAAGAUUGCAGAAAAUUUUGAAUCAAGAAAACAAACCUUUAUUAAAUCAUUUUAAAGGAUUUUGC
rnacentral:lncRNA from 1 species